rnacentral:rRNA from 1 species
AGCGUAUAUUAAAGUUGUUGCAGUUAAAAAGCUCGUAGUUGAAUUUCGGGGUUAGUAGGUUGGUCAUGCCUCUGGUAUGUACUGGUCUCACUGAUUCCUCCUUCCUGAUGAACCUUAAUGCCAUUUAUUUGGUGUUUUGGGGAAUUUGGACUGUUACUUUGAAAAAAUUAGAGUGUUUAAAGCAAGCUAACGCUUGAAUACAUUAGCAUGGAAUAAUGAAAUAGGACGUUCGAUCCUAUUUUGUUGGUUUCUAGGAUUGACGUAAUGAUUAAUAGGGAUAGUUGGGGGCAUUAGUAUUCAAUUGUCAGAGGUGAAAUUCUUGGAUUUAUUGAAGACUAACUACCGCGAAAGCAUUUGCCAAGGAUGUUUUCGUUAAUCAAGAACGAAAGUUAGGGGAUCGAAGACGAUCAGAUACCGUCGUAGUCUUAACCAUAAACUAUGCCGACUGGGGAUCGGAUGAUGUUAAUUUUUUAAUNACUCAUUC